CGCGCGGUGGUUGGGGGUGACUGCCGCGCCGAACAGCGCGGCGAGAGUGCUGAGCUUGUGGUUCGGCGCCUCGUCGCGCGUC
rnacentral:tRNA from 1 species